rnacentral:rRNA from 1 species
CCUACGGGUGGCAGCAGUGAGGAAUAUUGGUCAAUGGUCGGGAGACUGAACCAGCCAAGCCGCGUGAGGGAUGAAGGUACAGAGUAUCGUAAACCUCUUUUGUCAGGGAACAAAGGCGGGGACGUGUCCCCGGAUGAGUGUACCUGAAGAAAAAGCAUCGGCUAACCCCGUGCCAGCAGCCGCGGUAAUACGGGGGAUGCGAGCGUUAUCCGGAUUUAUGGGGUUUAGAGGGUGCGCAGGCGGUCUGUUAAGUCAGCGGUCAAAGCCCGGGGCUCAACCCCGGCCCGCCGUUGAAACUGGCAGUCUCGAGUUGGAGAGAAGUAUGCGGAAUGCGCGGUGUAGCGGUGAAAUGCAUAGAUAUCGCGCAGAACUCCGAUUGCGAAGGCAGCAUGCCGGCUCCACACUGACGCUGAGGCACGAAAGCGUGGGUAUCGAACAGGAUUAGAUACCCGGGUAGUC